rnacentral:rRNA from 1 species
AUUGAACGCUGGCGGCAGGCCUAACACAUGCAAGUCGAGCGAGCGGCGGACGGGUGUGUAAUGUCUGGGAAACUGCCUGAUGGAGGGGGGUAACUACACUAAAAGGGAGCUAAAACCCCAUACCCUCUGAUGUGCCCCGAUGGGAUUAGCUCGUAGUUGGGGUAACGGCUCACCAAGGCGACGAUCCCUAGCUGGUCUGAGAGGAUGACCAGCCACACUGGAACUGAGACACGGUCCAGACGCCUACGGGAGGCAGCAGUGGGGAAUAUUGCACAAUGGGCGCAAGCCUGAUGCAGCCAUGCCGCGUGUGUGAAGAAGGCCUUCGGGUUGUAAAGCACUUUCAGCGGGGAGGCGUUACCCGCAGAAGAAGCACCGGCUAACUCCGUGCCAGCAGCCGCGGUAAUUC